rnacentral:rRNA from 1 species
UACGUAGGGUGCGAGCGUUAAUCGGAAUUACUGGGCGUAAAGCGUGCGCAGGCGGUUUUGUAAGCCAGAUGUGAAAGCCCCGGGCUUAACCUGGGAAUGGCAUUUGGGACUGCAAGGCUUGAGUGCGGCAGAGGAGACUGGAAUUCACGGUGUAGCAGUGAAAUGCGUAGAUAUCGUGAGGAAGACCAGUGGCGAAGGCGGGUCUCUGGACAGUUCCUGACACUGAGGCACGAAGGCUAGGGGAGCAAACGGG